rnacentral:miRNA from 15 species
AGGCCGUGCUAUGUGACAAUAUG